rnacentral:lncRNA from 1 species
CCCUUUGGUGCUCUUCCCAGAUAUACGUGUAGGUUUUCUGCUACUCCAUAUGUAUGCUUUUCUUCUUUUUCAACAUAAACAUAUUCCUUGGCUAAGCACACACAAGAAAAGGCAUAGAGAAACGAUCCAUCACAAGAUCAAAAUCAGGUAAAUCAGGUAAGAGUUUCUUUCUGAAGUUCAGAUUUGAGUCUGAUUCAAUUCUUUUUGGUUUUGGCAUUUGUUGGCCUGUGAGUUGUCCAGUUUUUUUCUCAAAUCUCUUGAACUUUCAGGUAAAUUUGUUAGUCUUUAAUAUCAAUUUUGUUAUUUUCUGUGUGUUGUUUCUCCUUUUUUUGUUCCAAUUUGUUUCAACUCAAACAACAUCGGGAAAUUUCAAAGUUAGGGCUUUCAUGGAUGAAAUUGGGAGAAUAUUUGGGGUUUUGAUAAUUGGUAAAAGUCUGUUUUUUUCCCCACCGAGAAAGCAAAUAGAACCCAGGUAAUAAUCCCUUUUAGAAGUUAAAAUUUGAUUUUGAUCUAAAACUAUUUUGCUCGAUCAUUGCUAAUGUUUCUAAGUUCUACUUAGUUUCCCCAUCUCUCUGAAAAUUAGCUUCUUUUUCUUUUUACAUAUCUCCCUUUUCUCUUUGAUUCUGGGGUUUGUUUUACCUGUAAGUUUUGCUAAGUUUCUUGGUGAUGGGAUUUCGAAGAUAUGUGUUGGUUUUUGUAAUUUUCCUCUUUGUGUUUUAGGUACAUGUGAUUUGGCGGAUGAUUUUUUCUUCUCUCUUUGUUGCUUUCUUUGUUUUAUCCAUUUAUGUUAUUUUGGACCUUUCUCCAACUUUUUUUUAUUACUAAUGUUGUUGUUAAUUUAUCUUUAUUUCAUGUUCUUUGUUUCAGUUUUUACUCUGGGUUGUGGUAGCCGUCUCCUCUGCAUCAUCCUGUAAGCACUGCACUUCUAUUGGUUUUUUUCCUUAACUUCUCAGUAGAUUAUUUAUUUAUAUAUAUUAUCUGUUUAUUAGAGUUAUUUUUGGUUUGUAAUAUAUGUCAAUAACACACAACUUAUAUUACUAUAUAUCUAGAUUUAAUUUUAAUUUAGUAUUUUUGAAGCCUUAUUUUUCAACGAAUAAAAUGGACUUCAUUGUUCUCGAGUAAGUAUAAAAAGGAUCAAAUGUUUGAAAAAUACUACCGGUAAAAUGACUAGGCAACAUGAAUUAUAUAGAGUGAUGCUGAUAAAAAGGAUGCUCUUAUACCGCAGGUCUAAUAUAUGAGACUGGAAAAAAAAUGAUCAAUAAGAAAGAAGAAAAAAUUUGAACUCGAUAGCCCUUUUAAAGGGGGUA